AGAAGUUCGUGGAGUUUCUCAGUUACCGGCAGGUGCGAGAGCUAGGCAACGCAACGGGACCUCGAGUGGCCUCGAGCUUUGCUGAAUCGUCACUGUCCUCUACUCUCCCGAGACCCACUGAAAAUGAACGUAUCUGAGAUUGAUGAGAAAUGUGCCUUCACAGACAUCAGUGUCAUUCAAGGAUGUGAGUGUGGAGUUUAC